AUAAAGGGGUUGGAAGUUUUGUAGCAAGGGUGUUGAUGGGUGUCGCGGCCCAUACAAAUUUGAUGAGCAUAAAAGAAUGCAGUAUAGACUAGGAAGUGACUCCUAGGUCGUCUCUCAAGGACCAAAUGUGGUUCAAGAAUUAGGUCUAACACGCAGUGAGGGGGUUUGUGAAAGUUUUGUGACUGCAGAUGAAUUAAAUUAAAACGCGGAUGCAACAGAAAUGCAAACACAUAAGCUAAAGAGAUGAAAAGACAAUUCAUAAUGAAAACAAUAAGUUAAAAAUGCUUGAAAAGUGAAAAUAAAAUUAAAUGAAUAAAGCUAAAACAAAUCAAGCAAAGCUAAAAAAAAUAAAAAUAAAAAUAAAAAAAAUAAAAAUAAAAAUAAAAUUGAAUGCAACUUGGAAUAAAAUAAGCUAUGUUUGAUAAAAACGCACAUUGCAACUAAAAAAAAGCAACUUUUAAAUUGAUAAUUAAAAGCAUAUUCCAUAAUCUUUAACGUGAAUAAUAAAGGAAGAUAAGAUUGAAAAUGUUAAUUUUUUAAUUCUAAAUAAUAUUACCAUUAAAAGAGAGAAAAUAAAUCCCAUGUGGUGGCCAAUGAAAUCAACGCCUCAUGUGCAGCAGAAAUCAAUUUAAAUGCAAGAGCUCUAAAAGCAAAUUAAAAUAANUCCAAAAAGUUGGUGGUGGUAUGUGCCGGAAUCAAUAGAAAUCCAAUGCAAAGUGAAAUGUUAGAACUGUAACAGCGUGUUUCUUUCUCCCCAUGAGUCAGCCCCUUUGCCUCUUCAAUUAAAUCAACACUUUUUCUCAUGAAAGAAAAUGAAGGAUGAAUGAAAUCACCCCUCUGAACCACAUCAUCGUUUCUUCACUCUAGAAAAGUAAAUGCCUUCUUUUUCUUUAAAUAAAAAUCACCNUUGCAGCUAUAGCUAUGUUUCCUAUUUCAGCAAAGAAAAUGCACCGUAUGCUAGAAUCAAAAGAAAGAAAAAGAUGUAGCACAAGCACAAGCAACUCACGUACAUUCCAAAAACCAAAAAAAAUAUUUUUCAGCUACCUAUCCCAUCAAUUAACGUAACAGCUCCUACAUUCUAGCUAAAUGAAAUAAGUUUCUCAUUUGCAGCCGUGACACAUUUUCACAUGAGCCAUUAUCGUGAGCUGCUUCCCAAAAUUAAAUCAACGUGUUUCAAUUGAAAGGCAAAUGGAAAUUACCGCUUGACCGUAAAGCACUCCCUUCCAAGCGGUGACACAUCUCCAAGCAAUCAAAAGUUCAUCCUUUAAUAAUUAGAUUGAAAGCAAAACUAAAAGAUAAGCAAGUAGCAGCUGGACCGUCC
rnacentral:lncRNA from 1 species